AACUGAUAAAGCAAGUUUUGAUGGCGAAACGACAGUAAGUGACGCACAACGAAACGAGAAACUAAACUUUAACUAUGAUGAAAGUGAACUGG
rnacentral:tRNA from 1 species